GGGGGUUGUACCGUACGACUGGAGAAUUGCUAACGUAGUUCCUAUUUUAAGAAAAGGGAAAAAAAGUGAUCCGGUAAUUUAUAGGCCUGUUAGCGUGUGACGUCUGGAGUAUUCAAGGUCUUG